GCUACCAUAAUAAUGGGGCCUCUAAUUGGCCUCGGUGCCGGUUAUCUGACAAUGUCGAAGAAAUGCUUCGCAGCCGAGCCGUUCAACUUGUUUUAGAUUCAUUUGCUUCCUAUGCACCUAAGGCCCGACACCAGUAAAGAUACACUUAGGAGGAGGCCCGAUGCUCCUCGUCUGCGGCCAUGCCGGCUUUACCUGAGGAGCGUUUGCGCAUCUGCGCUGUAAUCGGCGCCCUGAAAGGGGCCGGAAUCCGGGUGAAGAACUGGAAGAGCUUCCUGAACAGCGGCGACGCCGCCAGGCAGGAGAGUCGCGGCGUCUCCUUUGCCUUCGGACGCGACUUGGUUUCGCUACCGCAGUGUCACUUGCCGGAAGUAGGGGGCUUCGUUCCGAAAUUCUUGGUGGACUCCUGUGCGUUUCUGUCACUCCAUCUUCACACAGAGGGUCUCUUCAGGAAAACUGGUUCCCUGAGCCGCAUCCGCUCUUUAAGGGCUGCUCUGGAGCAUGGUGACCCAGUCUUCUCACCUCCGCUCUCUGCUGCCCUGCAACCUUGCGAUGUAGCCACCCUGUUAAAGCAAUUCCUGCGUGAGCUGCCCACUCCACUCAUACCCUUUGAGCUGCAGGGGGUGCUGUUUCGUGCUCAAGGCCUAGAGGCUGACGGGUUCCAAGAUGGCGAACGAGACAGAAUCGUUUUGAUGGUCACUGCUCUGUUCCCAGCCUCCCAGGCUCGUGCUCUUAGGUAUUUUUGCACCUUCCUGAGGAACACCGCUAAGAGAUGCAGCGAGAAUCGCAUGGAGGUCGGUAACCUCGCUCUGGUUAUUACUCCUAAUCUGCUGCACUGCCCGCCUGUGGGUUCCAAACUGACCGAGGGCACGGGGAGGCUGUUAGACAGACAGGCCGAGGUCAUCAAGGUGCUCAUCAUGCAUGCUGAUCUCAUCGGGGUUGUUCCUCCAGCCAUUAUGGAGUCAUUGUCCUCAAUGCCUCAGUCGGGCAGUACUACGCCCCCUACAGAUGGGCUGUUCUUUCAUGAGAGGGCUGCACUUGGCGUAUACAGAAGCUUGAGGCGCCAGAGAAGGCGCAGUGUGGGAGAGAUGUUUGUAGAGGCGCUGAGCAAACUGAAAACUGGUCGCACUCCAAACGGUCAUUCUCAGCACUCAGACAACAUACUGGGCCAACAUAUCAGGCCCACGUCCCAAUCAACCAGCACCAUCAAAAGAAAGUCUACUGAGGACACUCUUCCAGAGCUUGUGGGAUCUGCCAAAAAGAGACGAUCGAUCCAUGAUCUGAGAGAGGAUAGCAAGCCUGUUAUUCAGUCCUGCACAGAUGAUUCUGAAUCCACGGCAAGUCAAAGCCCCACACCUAGUCUCUCGUCUGUCCUCUCCGUAACGGAGGGAAAUGACGAACAUGAACCUUUGUUGUCCUCCGGCAUGUCAGAGAAGCAGAAGAGCCAGAGAAGGAGCAUCAAAAAGUCACAGAGGUACCCAGCUCAGGAGAAUGGAGAGGAGAGGAGGAGGAGGAGGAGGAGGUCACUACGUUUCUUCACUUUGGCCAGCUGGAGCAGCCCUAAUACAGCUGUACCAAGUGACUGUGACGCUGACAACUGGUUAACAAGUAGCGGAAAGGUGAUUGACAGUACAAGUGAGCCAAUGAGUGCUGAAGGGGCGGUGCAAUUUAAGAUUCCCAUAAUUGUGAUUGAGGCUUCAGGAAAAGCGGCAGUGGAAACCGAAGUGGACGGUGACCCUGAUCUCCUGAACUGCAGCUUUGCCAAAGAGUCUUCUCACUACUUGUGCACAGAUGCUCCGGUGACUCCGCCUCCAGAAGAAGCGGGCAGCGGGCGAUUGGUCAAAGAGGCAGAUUCGAAAUCCCAGAGUGGAGCCAACGAUGGAGAAGUUGGAGUGCACUGUGCCGUCAUGAGGACGGAAGGGGAAGCAGAGCGGGGCGCGGUAAAGGAGAGCAGCGUCAUACUUGAAGAGACCGUUAUACAGACUAUUGCAGAAGAGCAGGGGUUCGAAAGGGAGAAUUGUGGGUGUUGUAGUCGGGGAGUGCCGUGUCAGGGUGCGGAUGUCUUUCGGAGGGCCAGCCGCCCACCUCGGCGUUCCAUCAGCCUGCCUGAUGUCUCUGCUGGACCAGCGGCUAGUCGGGGGGAAGAGGACGAGGAGGAGGAGGGAGGCAGAGAGUUUACUAGUGCUGAUUUCCAUGAAUGUGACUGCCCUGUACCUGACAGCACAGGGGAUGCGGCAAGGCAGCUGCAGAGCAGCGGUACAGCUUUAACGCUGGAAGAUACGGGAGUAGGGGCGAAGUGGCAGGCGAACUUAAAGCUAGAGCAAUGCCUAGGGCCAGAGAGGAACAAGAAGGCUGGAGAGGCAGAAACUCUUGCUGAGGAUGAGGGUUAUAAAAAGUCCAGCCAGCGCCUGUCUGUGGCUGAGCAUGUGCGCCGGUUCAACAUGCUGACUGGUUGGCUGAGGGCGUCCCGGGCUUUGACUGUCCCCACUGUCACCCAGAAGGGCAUCGUACCUCCGGAGGCACCGCAGGCCCCUGGUUCGAGGGGCCCAGUCCGCCUGCGUAGGCAGGGGGCACGCAGGUUCAGUCGAUCCAUAAGUCACGAAGGAGUGUCCGUCCUGCUGCAGAGGCCGGACCUGAAGCAGCCGCCACGUCCAGAGCUUCUGAGACCAACAAAACCCGGAAAUUCAUCUCAAGACCGACAGUGGCUGCCGCCUGCCCCACCCCGUCCUCAGGGCCAGUCCCAGCAACACCAGCGCCGAGGGCAGCACAGCCCCUGGGAGAAGGAGCAGGACGUGCUGCGUCAGCUGCGCAACCUGGGAGGAGAGAGACUGUCAAGUCAUGAGCAACUGCGACUACAGGUGGCCAAGAUGCCGCACUACCGUACCAAGCAGCAGGGAUCACAGAGGCAGCCGCUAGGGCAGGAACAACCACCAGAAGAGAUGGACCUACACCGGCGUCUAGAGUUACAGCUUCAUCUGAACCGGUCAGAGUCAGCGGAAGAACCAGAGAUAUCGCUGAAGUUGCAGUCGCAGUCCCAGCUGGAUAAUCCCAAGGAUGUCCUGUGUCCAACCUUCAUUUCUUCCCAGCAGGAGUUCCUGCAGCGAGUCAGACCUCUUUGUCUCCUUUCCCCUGUCACUCUCCUGCACCCCAGUACAGAUGCACACGUAAACGAUGGGCUCGAUAGCAACGUGUACAUCUCCACCCACGAGAGCCAGACACCACCUCCAGACUUGGGCAGCUGCUCCACCCUGCACAUGAGAACACGUGGUGACUCUCCUCUGCAGAAUGAGCUCUGCUUUGACUACACACCACCUUUGUCUGCGGAUGACACGACUGAUGUGACAUCUAAGGGUAUCGCUGAUGACAAAUCCGGCAUCUCCUCACCGGCCUUGCAGUUACAGAUUCCUGCCCCCAGGAGGCGAUAUAGAGAUUCUCCUCGUUGGCCGGUUUCUGAGAUUCGCAUUGCCACCUGGGAUCCUGUGCAGCUCUGAACAUGAGUGUCUACUGAAAAAUGCUCAAGGACUAUUCCUGUGCAUUGAGAACUUACUGUCAUCGCUCCUUUGGAAAACAUGAAUGACAGAAGUGAAAUAUGGAAGGAUUCAGCAGCCGCUGUCUCUUAUGGGGAGAUGGUGUAAAUGAGUUUUCUGCCAGGACGUGUACUUCUCCACACAUAGAUCGGAAGUGGAAAGCAGCAGAAGUCUUUCCCCCCCCCCCCUACCGUUUAAUGUAUCGUGGCUUCUGCUUUAAAAAGAUUACAGCAAUAUUGGAGCGAAAAAUCAAGCUUGCUUGUGAUUUAAGGUUGUUGAGGUUCAGAAUUCUUCGCAGACAGUAGAUACAUUUUCUUCCUCAAUAGUGCUUUUAAUCACCAUGCUUUAAAGCCCUUGGCAAAGUACGUACUCCUUCAUAUACUUCUGAGGCAUGGCACAUUUCAUACCCACUUCAUUUAUGUAAGACAAUGGGCAAUCGGGCUUUACACACAGUCUUGCACGCCAGCUCCAACGCUUGUUGGUUAAACUGAAACCAGUAAUCCCAUCUAGUGGGGAACUUGAGAACUACAGGGUUCAAAGUUUGCAACGUAGCAGGGCUGUGAGCCUUUUAAACUAUGGAAUUCAAACAUAUUUCACAGCAAGCAGCUUUAAUAUUCAAUGUUCUGUUUUUAUUUAUGAAAGAUCUCGGAAGCUGCAGUUGGUGUUAUGUAAUUUUCUAUGGUAUCUAAUUUUAUUCUGGCUUUUUUUUUUUCCUCCUGUGGCUCUAAGGGGAAUCUGACUACACUUGUAUCUGCGUACAAGCUGCCCUUAUGCUGGCAAAAAUAUCCCAGCAUCCACUCUCAUUCUACAGCUGAUUUGGUUGCUAUGGGAAACUGAAGAGCGAUACAGCAGAUUUAAAGUUGACACAUAGUUUGAGAAAUGUGGAGGUGAUGCGAAAUGAUUAUGUUUUGAAUGUUGUGUGCUGAAAGGGAGUCUCUUCAUUUUCUGUUUGGUUAAAAAUAGGCCAUGAAUCGUCGUAACUGGUUAUUUAAGCUGGACUGUAAUUUGGGGAAUGGGCUGUGAUCGAGCUUUUGUAAGGUUAGUACUCUAGGGUAAUGCUGCUACGUAUCUUUUGCAUCAGAUUUUUAUUGUAAAUAUGUAGGAUAAACAUGGGAUAUAUUUAGAAUUUGUUCUAUGUAUGUGACCAGAAAUCAUUUGAGUGCCAUUGAAUCGGAACACCAGAUAAUGUAUUGCUUUAAGAUGUUUUGC